AACGAACGCUAGCGGCAUGCCUAACACAUGCAAGUCGAACGAGAUCUUCGGGUCUAGUGGCGCACGGGUGCGUAACGCGUGGGAAUCUGCCCUUUGGUUCGGAAUAACAGUUGGAAACGACUGCUAAUACCGGAUGAUGACGAAAGUCCAAAGAUUUAUCGCCAGAGGAUGAGCCCGCGUAGGAUUAGCUAGUUGGUGUGGUAAAGGCGCACCAAGGCGACGAUCCUUAGCUGGUCUGAGAGGAUGAUCAGCCACACUGGGACUGAGACACGGCCCAGACUCCUACGGGAGGCAGCAGUGGGGAAUAUUGGAAAAUGGGCGAAAGCCUGAUCCAGCAAUGCCGCGUGAGUGAUGAAGGCCUUAGGGUUGUAAAGCUCUUUUACCCGGGAUGAUAAUGACAGUACCGGGAGAAUAAGCUCCGGCUAACUCCGUGCCAGCAGCCGCCGUAA
rnacentral:rRNA from 1 species